GGCGGACGGGUGAGUAAUAUAUCGGAACGUGCCCAGUAGCGGGGGAUAACUACUCGAAAGAGUGGCUAAUACCGCAUACGCCCUACGGGGGAARGGGGGGGAUCGCAAGACCUCUCACUAUKGGAGCGGCCGAUAUCGGAUUAGCUAGUKGGKGGGGUAAAGGCUCACCAAGGCAACGAUCCGUAGCUGGUUUGARAGGACRACCAGCCACACUGGGACUGARACACGGCCCARACUCCUACGGGAGGCAGCAGUGGGGAWUUUUGGACAAUGGGGGAAACCCUGAUCCASCCWUCCCGCGUGUAUGAUGAAGGCCUUCGGGUUGUAAAGUACUUUUGGCARARAARAAA
rnacentral:rRNA from 1 species